GCAUGUGGUUUAAUUCGAAGAUACGCGAAGAACCUUACCUGGGCUUGAUAUCCAACUAAUCUCUUAGAGAUAAGAGAGUGCUAGCUUGCUAGAAAGUUGAGACAGGUGCUGCACGGCUGUCGUCAGCUCGUGUCGUGAGAUGUUGGGUUAAGUCCCGCAACGAGCGCAACCCACGUAUUUAGUUGCUAACAGUUUGGCUGAGCACUCUAAAUAGACUGCCUUCGUAAGGAGGAGGAAGGUGUGGACGACGUCAAGUCAUCAUGGCCCUUAUGCCCAGGGCGACACACGUGCUACAAUGGCAUAUACAAUGAGAUGCAAUAUCGCGAGAUGGAGCAAAUCUAUAAAAUAUGUCUCAGUUCGGAUUGCUCUCUGCAACUCGAGAGCAUGAAGCCGGAAUCGCUAGUAAUCGUAGAUCAGCCAUGCUACGGUGAAUACGUUCCCGGGUCUUGUACUCACCGCCCGUCACACCAUGGGAGUUGAUUUCACUCGAAGUCGGAAUGCUAAAUUAGCUACCGCCCACAGUGGAAUCAGCGACUGGGGUGAAGUCGUAACAAGGUAACCGUAGGAGAACCUGCGGUUGGAUCACCUCCUUUCUAGA
rnacentral:rRNA from 1 species